UCUUAUUGGUGUGAUAAACUAUCUAUGCCAUGAGAUGCUUUAUGAUCCUCUGCUGUCUAACUGUCUUAUCAAGACCAUAUGAUAAACUUGACCUCAAAUCAGGUAGGACUACCCGCUGAACUUAAGCAUAUCAAUAAGCGGAGGAAAAGAACUAACAAGGAUUCCCUUAGUAACUGCGAGUGAAGAGGGAAAAGCUCAAAUUUAAAAUCUGGCAGUGCUUCACUGUCCGAGUUGUAACCUAGAGAAGUGUAACCUGUGCUGGACCGUGUAUAAGUCUCCUGGAAUGGAGCGUCAUAGAGGGUGAGAAUCCCGUCUUUGACAUGGACUACCAGUGCAUUGUGGUUGCGCUCUCAACGAGUCGAGUUGUUUGGGAAUGCAGCUCUAAAUGGGUGGUAAAUUCCAUCUAAAGCUAAAUAUUGGCGAGAGACCGAUAGCGAACAAGUACCGUGAGGGAAAGAUGAAAAGAACUUUGGAAAGAGAGUUAAACAGUAUGUGAAAUUGUUGAAAGGGAAACGUUUGAAGUCAGUCGCGUUGGUUGGGGAUCAGCCUGACAUUGUUGGGUGUACUUCCCGGUUGACGGGCCAACAUCAGUUUUGACUGCCAGAGAAAGGCCAAAGGAAUGUGGCACCUUUGGGUGUGUUAUAGCCUUUGGUUGUAUAUGGUGGUUGGGACUGAGGAAAGCAGCGUGCCGAAAGGCCGGGUUUUUAACCACGUUCACGCUGAGGAUGUUGGCAUAAUGGCUUUAAGCGACCCGUCUGG
rnacentral:rRNA from 1 species